rnacentral:lncRNA from 1 species
GCUGAGCAUGAGUUGAUUGAGUUGCUCUUGACCGAAGUCAAGGGCAAAGACUUCAAUGAGCUACUUGCUAGUGGAAGUGAAAAGAUUUCUGCAGUGGCUGGUGGUGGUGCAGCGGUUGCUGUUGCUGCUGCACCAGCGGGAGGUGCUGGUGGCGGUGCUGCACCUGCUGCCGAAGCAAAGGAAGAAAAGAAAGUAGAAGAGAAGGAGGAAUCUGAUGAUGUAAGGUUCAAACUUUUGGCAGUAAUUGUUAAUUUGUUGUUGUUUAGUAAAUUCACAAUUCUCUGCUAAUUAUUCUAUAUAUCUUCUUUGGUCUGCAGGAU